CGGGACGUGGCGCAGCUUGGUAGCGCGCCUCACUGGGGGUGAGGAGGUCGCUGGUUCGAAUCCAGUCGUCCCGACCA
rnacentral:tRNA from 1 species